rnacentral:rRNA from 1 species
CCUACGGGUGGCAGCAGUGAGGAAUAUUGGUCAAUGGACGAAAGUCUGAACCAGCCAUGCCGCGUGCAGGAAGACGGCCCUAUGGGUUGUAAACUUCUUUUGUACGGGGGUAAAUCCCGAUACGUGUAUCGGGUUGAAAGUAUCGUGCGAAUAAGGAUCGGCUAACUCCGUGCCAGCAGCCGCGGUAAUACGGAGGAUUCGAGCGUUAUCCGGAUUUAUUGGGUUUAAAGGGUGCGUAGGCGGGUCGAUAAGUUAGCGGUGAAAUUCGGGGGCUCAACUCCGGAACGGCCGUUGAUACUGUGGGGCUUGAGUGGAGUUGCGGUAGGCGGAAUGCAUGGUGUAGCGGGGAAAUGCAUAGAGAUCAUACAGAACACCGAUUGCGAAGGCAGCGUACCAGACUACGACUGACGCUGAGGCACGAAAGCGUGGGGAGCAAACAGGAUUAGAUACCCCUGUAGUC